CAGACCUUUAAUGGAGGAAGAGAUGGAGUUUCUCCUGCAGAUGGAGGAGAAGCGUGCACAAGUGGAGGCGAGGCGAGCAGAGGCCGAGUUGAAGCACGCUCAAGUGGAGGCUGAGGUGAGGUUUCGUCUUACUGAAAUAUGCAUCCAUACCACAUCACUGAGAGGGGAUUGGGAACCCUGAUGCUGCUGGAGAGAAUGAUUCAAGAGGAUGCACAUUGAGAGAUGAAUGGGUGGAAUGACACAAAGAAGGAAGGAAAGACAUACAGAAAUGGGAGAGGAGCAGAAUGGGGGAUGAAGAAGAUGAAAGCCAGAGCUGGAUUAGGAUCUGUCUCAACAGUUAGAGCUUUCCCCAAGGACAGAAUAGUAAGAGAUGGGUGACUGGAGUUUCUUGGGGAACAUUUUAGAAGAAGUGAAUGAGCACUCCACAGUCAUCGGGAGAGUCUGGCUCACAGUGCUCUUCAUUUUUCGAAUCCUGAUUCUGGGAACAGCUGCUGAAUUUGUCUGGGGAGAUGAACAGUCAGACUUUGUGUGCAACACGCAGCAGCCUGGUUGUGAGAAUGUCUGUUACGAUGAAGCCUUCCCCAUUUCCCACAUCCGGCUCUGGGUCCUGCAGAUCAUCUUUGUCUCUACUCCUUCACUGGUGUAUGUGGGGCAUGCUGUGCAUCAUGUGCGGAUGGUGGAGAAGAGGAGAGAGAGAGAGCAGGCAGAGAGGCAACAGCAAGCUGAGAUGGAUGAAGAGAGGUUACCGCUAACUCCAGACCAAGAGGACAUCAGGAACACCAAUGAAAUCAAUCCCAAGGGGGCCAAGAAGUUCCGACUGGAGGGAACACUCCUGGGAACCUACAUCUGUCACAUCAUUUUUAAAGCCAUUUUCGAGGUAGGGUUCAUAGUAGGUCAAUACUUCUUGUACGGCUUCCGAAUUCUACCCCUGUACCGCUGUGGCCGGUGGCCUUGCCCCAACCUUGUGGACUGCUUUGUAUCCAGGCCCACUGAGAAGACAGUCUUCAUUAUGUUUAUGCUGGCUGUAGCCUCAGUAUCCCUCGUCCUCAACCUUGUGGAGAUCAGUUACUUGAGCUUGAAAAAGAUUCGCCUGUUUUUCAGGAGGCCCACAGAGCAACAACAGGGGGAGAUCCCAGAGAAGCCCCUCCACUCCAUUGCAGUCUCUUCCAUUCAGAAGGUCAAGGGCUACAAGCUGCUGGAGGAAGAGAAGCCGGUGUCCCGUUACUUACCUCUGACAAAAGUGGGGGUAGAAACUGCUCCCCCUCCAUCUUCUUUCAAUGACUUGGAUGAGAAGCUUGGUAUGGGUCCCGUAGAAGACCUUUCCAGGACCUUUGAUGAGAGAUUACCAUCUUAUGCCCAAGCAAAAGAGCAGAAGGAGGAGAAGGUAGAGGCAGGGGAAGAGGAGCAGGAUCAAGAAGAAGAGGAGGAGCAUCAGGAACCAGAAGAAGAGCUGGAGGUGAAGAAGAUGGCAGCGGAACAGGAACUGCCAGGAGAGGAACUGCCUGCAGUGCCUGCUGAAACUGACACAAGACCUCCCAGCAGGUUAAGCAAAACCAGCAGCCGGGCCAGGUCAGAUGAUUUGACUGUAUAAGGGUGUGGGGAGUAACUACGCACACACAAAAUCACACGUUUUUAAACAAAAUGCUCAAAUGGUCAUUUGAAUAUUUCCUAUUGAGAUUCUCCGCUGGAAAGGUGCUAUCAUUGUAACUGCACCUUGUCUGUCCUGUGUGUCCCAUGGCUGGUGCUAGCUAUCAUGUAACAUAUUCAAAGGAACAGUUUCUUUUUUUUUUCCAGAUGCCAGUUCACUUCUCACAGCACCUGUGCUAUACAUGGCACUGAAGCAUUUUAAAACUAAAACAAAACAAAAAUCCAAAUGUAUUUACUAUGGCUGCACUUGCUGACAGUUUUAUGUUCCACAUUUCACUAGAGAUAUGGGGGAAAUGGCUCUUUCAGACAGUAUCUGGCUGAAGGGUUGAUAAAUAGAUAUCUUUGGAUAUUUCUUACUCUGUUUUAGCAUGUGGCAUAAUGACAUUGGUCCUCCCUUCAUUGCUAGCAUAGAAUUGCAGUUAUUUAAUUCACAAAAAAGGAUCCUGUGCUUAAUAUCAUGAAACUAGAUGAAAGUAUUAUCACCAAAAUGGCCUUGCUUUGUUUGUGAAUGCAAAUUUCAGUUGCUUAUAAAUACCUUCCCGGCAUCCCCUUGGUUAGAAACACUUUUGAUCUACAAGUGAUGCUGAUAACAGAAAAGAUUAAAGCUAGUUUCUUGUAAGAAUUUAGCAGAUGCACACAAAUGGGUUAUUUAUUACCAACAGGGUCAUUUCAGUCAAAGACCUUUGUCAGGCUAGUGCAAAGAAUAAAUUAAAUUAAUAUUUGUUGUUAAGUGGGGUGAUUGGGGUGUGGAAAUUGACUUACAAAGGAGUGAUAGGAAGGCAUCUGUAAGUAGAACUACUGUACAUAGAGCACAAUGUCCAACGUAAGGCUCCCAGUGCUGCAUUUGCAGCUAGAUCUCAAAAGGUGCUUCCUUCCUGCAACUCCCAGGAAGAUAUGGGCACUCAACAAGUCUGAGAGAGUGUGUUGAGAUACUCAGCUUGGCAGUUGGUAUCCUAAAAUAUAAAUUUCGGCAGCUAAGUGACUGCUUAAACACCCAAAUGCCAAACUUCUUGACCUGAUUUAUGUGCUCAGGUUUGAAAAAUAGGCCCUUAUUUUGAAUAACAUAACAACGGUCAUUAGACAUCCUGCUUUGUUGCUAAUUUGAUAAGAAACUCAAUUUGCAGGAGUUUCCAAUACUCUACUUAGCUAAUGAACAUAAAUGAAUAGAGCAAGGUCAUUCAAAGGAUCAGUAAGAAAAAAUAUCUGUACCCAAAGGACUAAAGGAAUGCCACAAAGCUCCAGCAAAGUCUAUUUUAUUUUAGAAAAAAUUAAGAAAGAACAUCCACUUUCUGAGUGUGUAAUAGCUAAUGUUAAAAAUGUCAAUGGCUUUCAAAUGUUAGGGUCACAAAAGUCUUUCUUUGGCUGGGAUAAAGCAGCAAGUUGUUUAAAAGUUAAUCACUAUGCAAAGACUGAAUCUGUUGUCUGAAAAGUAUAGAUAUGUGCAGUGAUAAAAAACAAACAAAAGUGAGUAAACGAACCUUAUUUCCUAAAUGACAAAUGGGUAAAUGCUGUUUACCCACAAUUACUCUCAACUAUGGGUACUAGGGUACAUGUUUUCCUCUGUUCUGCUUUCCAGACCUCAGUCCCUGCCAGCUCAGCAAAUUUUCUCUGCUAUGCAGCAGCUCAUGUACAUUGUUUCAAGUGUGGAAUAGAAUCCAUUUCAGAAAAUGUACUUCACAUGAGACAUAAAACCAAAUCCUGCAACUGGCUAGAAAAGGCCCCGUGGACUAUGAUAUGAGGGCAGGACUCCUAGGUAAAUUCCCCUUUCAGUUUCAUUGGAUAUUAUGAUUUUGGCAAUACUAUUCUAAAUGGCUCUGUGGAGUUCCUGUGCCUUGUUAAACAGCUGCCAUAUUCCACUCCAGAGAUGGCUUCACUUCACUGGUGGGUGACGUGAUUACUAUAUGUAUGUAUAUGUUUUGUAAAGUGUUUUGGGAUUCUUUAGUACUAUAACAAUGCCACAUUUUUACAUUGUUAAGAAUUUUGCUCCUUUUGGGCUUGUCUUUUUCUAAACUUUGCAGCCUUGAUAAAGAUCAUGAGAGACAUUCAGAAGCUUUCUUUUGAAGAGAGACUCUAAAGAUUGCAUCUAUUUAGAGAGGAGAUACGGUAACUAAGAGGGUAUUUAUUAGAGAAAUAUAAAAUAAUGAUGGUGCAGAGAACCCAUGUAGAAUGCUUCCAGUGUCUCAUAAUACAAAAACAAGAGGGGCAAUCAAUGCAACUGAAAGGCAAAAAGUGGGAAAAUAAAAGGAAAUACUUUCUGUACAAGUCAUAAUGAACAUGAGUAACUUAUUGCCACACAAUUCCAGUGAAGCCAAAAACUCAGUAAGAUUAAAAUAGGAUUAGACAUUUACAUGAAUUAUAAGAACAUUUGC